rnacentral:rRNA from 1 species
UACAGAGGGUGCGAGCGUUGUCCGGAAUCACUGGGCGUAAAGGGCGCGUAGGCGGCCCGGUAAGUAGGGGGUGAAAUCUCGCGGCUCAACUGCGAGGCUGCCUCCUAAACUGUCGGGCUCGAGCACAGUAGAGGCAGGUGGAAUUCCCGGUGUAGCGGUGGAAUGCGUAGAGAUCGGGAAGAACAUCGGUGGCGAAGGCGGCCUGCUGGGCUGUUGCUGACGCUGAGGCGCGACAGCGUGGGGAGCAAACAGG